rnacentral:rRNA from 1 species
GACGAACGCUGGCGGCGUGCUUAACACAUGCAAGUCGAGCGGUAAGGCUCCUUCGGGAGUACACGAGCGGCGAACGGGUGAGUAACACGUGAGCAACCUGCCCUUCUCAUCGGAAUAAGCGUUGGAAACGACGUCUAAUGCCGAAUAUGACAACGGAUCGCAUGAUCUGUUGUGGAAAGCUCCGGCGGAGAAGGAUGGGCUCGCGGCCUAUCAGCUUGUUGGUGGGGUAACGGCCCACCAAGGCGACGACGGGUAGCCGGCCUGAGAGGGUGACCGGCCACACUGGGACUGAGACACGGCCCAGACUCCUACGGGAGGCAGCAGUGGGGAAUAUUGGACAAUGGGCGCAAGCCUGAUCCAGCAACGCCGCGUGAGGGAUGACGGCCUUCGGGUUGUAAACCUCUUUCAGCAGGGACGAAGCGAAAGUGACGGUACCUGCAGAAGAAGGACCGGCCAACUACGUGCCAGCAGCAGCCGCAGUAA